rnacentral:rRNA from 1 species
AUUGAACGCUGGCGGCAGGCCUAACACAUGCAAGUCGAGCGGAUGAAGGGAGCUUGCUCCUGGAUUCAGCGGCGGACGGGUGAGUAAUGCCUAGGAAUCUGCCUGGUAGUGGGGGAUAACGUCCGGAAACGGGCGCUAAUACCGCAUACGUCCUGAGGGAGAAAGUGGGGGAUCUUCGGACCUCACGCUAUCAGAUGAGCCUAGGUCGGAUUAGCUAGUUGGUGGGGUAAAGGCCUACCAAGGCGACGAUCCGUAACUGGUCUGAGAGGAUGAUCAGUCACACUGGAACUGAGACACGCUCCAGACUCCUACGGGAGGCAGCAGUGGGGAAUAUUGGACAAUGGGCGAAAGCCUGAUCCAGCCAUGCCGCGUGUGUGAAGAAGGUCUUCGGAUUGUAAAGCACUUUAAGUUGGGAGGAAGGGCAGUAAGUUAAUACCUUGCUGUUUUGACGUUACCAACAGAAUAAGCACCGGCUAACUUCGUG